GACGAACGCUGGCGGCGUGCUUAACACAUGCAAGUCGAACGGAAAGGCCCUGCUUUUGUGGGGUGCUCGAGUGGCGAACGGGUGAGUAACACGUGAGUAACCUGCCCUUGACUUUGGGAUAACUUCAGGAAACUGGGGCUAAUACCGGAUAGGAGCUCCUGCUGCAUGGUGGGGGUUGGAAAGUUUCGGCGGUUGGGGAUGGACUCGCGGCUUAUCAGCUUGUUGGUGGGGUAGUGGCUUACCAAGGCUUUGACGGGUAGCCGGCCUGAGAGGGUGACCGGCCACAAUGGGACUGGGGAUCGGCCCAGACUCCUACGGGGGGCAGGAGGGGGGGAUAUUGCACAAUGGGGGGAAGCCUGAUGCAGCAACGCCGCGGGGGGGAAGACGGCCUUCGGGUUUUAAACCGCUUUCGCCUGGGACGAAGCGUGAGUGACGGUAAUGGGUAAAGAAGCACCGGCUAACUACGUG
rnacentral:rRNA from 1 species